UUCAAACGUAUUUAACCGUUCGAACAGUCUUGCAUAUAUAAGUUGCCGCGGACGGUCAUCUUCACGGACGCCAAACCACUCACAAAUCGUAGUUUUCUCCAACAUAAUCGUCCAUCGCCGUCGAGAAUAGUACCCAAUCGAAGCCUCUUCCUCUAAGCACCGUCUUGCAUAUAUAAGUUGCCGCGGAUGGUCAUCUUCACGGACGCCAAACCACUCACAAAACUUAGUUUUCUCCAACAUAAUCGUCCAUCGCCGUCGGGAAUAGUACCCAAUCGAAGCCUCUUCCUCUAAGCACCGAUGCAGUCAGGUUCUAGGGAAUCCUCUCUUAGAGACAUAGCCAUAUUCACGCAAGUGCUUGGGCCGCAUUCUAGUAUGGCAAGAGAUUUGGGACGAUCUUUCAAGCAUAGAUGCUCACCCUUCUCAACCUCAUCAUUUCAUAAAUUAAUAAUUUUAUCAAAAAUUUAGAAUCUGCACGGCGCGAGAAAGAGUAUAUGAGGUCGAGACAGCAAAAGCUAGAGUCUCUCUUAGAGCGACAAUUUCAUUUAGAUACGCGUUUGCAGGACGAACAAAGAGACCAGGAGGAAAGAGUGCGCAGUGAAGUCUAAGAACAAGUGCAACGGGAGAUGAUGAUGCAAAUUGAGCGUGUUAUGUUGUUGCAACAAAAUCGCGGUGGGUGAGAAAAGAAUAAGAAAUGAAUUUUAUUAAUUUUAUUAGUGUAUAUAACUUAUUUUAAUAUUUAAUUUUGAAAUUUUAUAAGACAUUGUUAGUUGUUAAU